AAUCAACAGCUGAAAAUAAAAAUCUCAUAAAACACUUCAAAAAUAAAUUUUGCGAUUUUCGAAAUGGUUUACUUAGUGAUCGAAAAGUUCAAAAAUCAACAAUUUUAAUGGUCGAUAUCUGCCAUGUCAUGUUUUAACGGCGUAGAUGUAUCCAAAUCAGAUGAAUUUUGAUAGAAAAUUCUUUAUACUAUCUACAGCAAGUUCAAUAUCUCUGAUAGAAAAUUUUAGUACUAUAUCACCACCUUUUAUGAGAUUUUAUUUUCAACCGUUGAUUUUGAACCUUUCGAUCACUAAGUAAACGAUAUCGAAAAAUCGCAAAAUUAUUUUCUAGAUACUUCAAAUAUGCUAGAUCAAGUAUAGCGGAGCUAUCACGAUUCUGGAGUCUCAUCAUCGAAAAUGCUCAGGAGCACGAGGGCUCUGUGCCUCCUGAUGAGCACCAACAACUUGGUGCUAUUAUAUAUUACAAUAUAUAUAUAUAUAUAUAUGUAUAGAGAGAGAGAGAGAGAGAGUUCGGCUACUAUACUCUUAUGAGUACGAUCGCCCUCGUACUCAUAAGUUGCCCUCGUACUCAUAAGUUGUUUUCGAUGAUAGAGCUUCCGAAUCGACGAUCCACACCGUUAAACAUUAUCUAGAGCAUUUAAAACGUCUAGAAUUCAAAAUUUAUAAUUUUUCGACAUUAUUUACCUUAUGAUCAAAAGCUCACAAAAUUGACAAUUUUUAACGGCCAAUAUAGGAUAUUUGUUAAUUUAACGGUGUAAAUGAAUCGAAAUCGGUUGAAUUUUUGAUAGAAAAUUCUAUUCACUACAUAGAUAAAGAUCAAUAACUCCGAUCUUAAAUUGAUGGAUCCGAUCAUCCAUUUUUAAGACGUCGUUCAAUUUUGACCGUUCAUGUUAUACCCGCUUGAUGGACUUUAUUAUUAUUCCGAAAAAUUGCGAAAUUUAUUUUCUAGAAGAUUCAAAUACUCUAGAUCGUAUUUAACGGAGUGGAUCGUCGAUUCGGAAGCCCCAACAUCGGAAACAACUUAUGAGUAUGAAAGGCUCUAUACUCAUAAGAGUAUAGUAGCCCUACUCAUAUAUAUAUAUAUAGUUGAGCUAGAAUACUCUCAAAAGCACCAAGGGGUUGGUGCUCUUGAGUUUUUAACCAUUGGAUGGAGAGAUGUAGGGUUGAGAUGAUGGUGGUAAGUGGUGGUAGGUGUUGGUAGGUGGAAUAGUAUUUGAUCCAAGGGGUAUUAAUAAUUGGGAAGUAGAUCCAAGGGCUAGAAACUUAGAAGCACCAAGGGAUUGAUGCUUCUAAAAGUAUUCUAGCUCAAUUCAUAUAUGUGUGUGUGUGUGUGUGUGUGUGUGUGUGUGUGUGUGUGUGAGUAGGUCUACUGUACUCUUAUGAGAAUAAACCCCUUUGUACUCAUAAAUUUUCGGCCCUUAGAUGAAGGGAUGUGCGGUUAGGAUGAUAGUGAUCUCCGGUUAGGAAGACAGUGGUCCCCUAGGGUUGAGUGGGUGGUUGGUUGAAUAGUAUGAUCUAACGGGUGGAAAUGAUCAAAGAGGUAUAUCUAACGGCCAAAAAUUUAUAAGUACAAAGGGGUCUAUACUUAUAACAGUAUAGUAGACGAACUUUUAUAUAUAUAUAUAUAUAUAUAUAUAUAUAUAUAUAUAGAGAGAGAGAGAGAGAGAGAGAGAGAGAGAGAGAGAGAGAGUAUGGCUAUUAUACUCGUAUGAAUAUUGGGUCCUUCGUACUUAUAAGUUGUUUUCAAUGAAGGAGCUUCCGAAUCGACGAUCCACUCCGUUAAAUAUGAUUUAGAGUAUUUGAAACUUCUAGAAAAUAAAUUUCGUAAUAUUUCGAAAUCAUAAUAAAGUUCAUCAAACGGACGGUCAAAAUCGAACGACGUCUUAAAAAUGGAUGAUCGGAUCCUUCAAUUUAAGAUCGAAGUUAUUGAUCUUUAUCAAUGUAAAGAAUAGAAUUUUCUAUCAAAAUUCAACCGAUUCCAAUUCUUUUACACCGUUAAACUAGCAAUAUCCCAUCCGGCCGUUAAAAAUUGUCAAUUUUGUGACCUUUU
rnacentral:lncRNA from 1 species